UCCGUAGAUGAAACAACCGGACUACAAAAUAGGAAGGUGCCAUAGAGAAAUCAAUAACCAUGGCAAAGAGAACACAAACAACAAAAGCAAAAAUCAGUCUGUUGAUAUGAAGGAGUGAGUUGGAGAUUGAGGAUGGUUCACCUUGCCUCCCUGAGAGCCGAGAGCCUUACAAGGAAGCUUGGUUGGUGGUAGAAAGCCUUCAAGAGAAUGAUAACAGUG
rnacentral:lncRNA from 1 species